UGCUUCUCGACACAAAAGAGCAUGAAGAAAAAUAGGAUCUGCAUUACUUUUUAAAAUGCUCUCUCUGGUUGCUGGGUAGAAUUCUGGCUCCGGAAAAAAUUAUAAAAAAAAAAAAAAAAAAGAAAAAAGAAUUCUGGUUCCAGGGAUCAGGGUGCAAGCAGGCCAAGAACUCAGAAGAACCACUGCAACGAUCCAGACGAGAGAGGAAGGAACUCUGGGCCGAUACCGUAGCGGCAGAGGUGGUGAGAAGUGGCCAGAUUGCCGGAGAGAUUUUGAAGGUGGAGCAAAGAGGAUCUGCUGGCACCCUGGAUGUGGGAGAUUUUUGGCCUGAAUUAUUGGGAAGACAGUGGCACUGGCAAUGAUGAAGAUUUGGGUUGGAACUGGAUGGGAGAGGAAGGUGAGGGCUGGGUUUCAGAGUUCCUGCAGGUCAGGAAUGUGGCAGUGGUCUGGCUGGGUGGUUUUGCGUCAGCGUUUCUCAAGCAGCUGCUGUGAAGAUGUUGGCCAAGGCUGCAGUCAUAUAAAGGCUUGAUUUUAGCUGGAAGAUCCAUCUCACUUGCACAGCUGUUGACAGGAGGUCUUGGUGUCUCAUCCUCUGAAUCUUCUCCCGACAUGGCAGCUGAGUUCCCCAGGAGGGACAGCAGGGCAUUUGGAGAAGUGGAAGCAAAGGACAGAGUGGGAGGCGGCAGCGGACAAGAAAAGCAGAUCCGCAGCUCAAUCCUUCUGGACACUACAAAGAAGACACACGGGAAGGUCUUGAGCCCGAGAAUGAACCUGGAGUUUAAAACAGAAAUGCUUCAAUUAGGCCAUUAUGCCUUGUCAUCUACUUUGUGGACAUUCCACACUCACCUGGAUUGUGUUGAGGCAUGAUUUGAAGUUCAGGAAACACUGAAAUUGAGAGCUGGGGAAUGACAGCAACAGAUGGACCUUGCUAGCAUGAAGUAAUCAAAGGUGUGCAAAGUCUGGGCAAAAAUACUCAAUCCUGAGCUUGACAGACCAUAUAGAAGCAGGUUAUACCAUUAGCUAAAGGUCAGAUAUAAAUAUAGUGAGCUUGUUAAAGACAGUUGGGUAUGCUCUAUCCUUCUCAAUCACAUUUGUAUACCUGGGGGAUAACUUGUCAGCGAGAUGUGUAU